rnacentral:rRNA from 1 species
GACGGAGGGUGCAAGCGUUAUUCGGAAUUAUUGGGCGUAAAGCGCGUGUAGGCGGCUCAGCAAGUCAGGUGUGAAAGCCCUCGGCUUAACCGAGGAAGUGCGCCUGAAACUACUGAGCUUGAGUACCGGAGAGGGUGGUGGAAUUCCCGGUGUAGAGGUGAAAUUCGUAGAUAUCGGGAGGAACACCAGCGGCGAAGGCGACCACCUGGACGGCUACUGACGCUGAGACGCGAAAGCGUGGGGAGCAAGC